AUAAAGUGGCUGAAAAAAGCGGUAAACUGUAAAUUUAUUUAUGAAUUUAAUUCCUUUAUCAA
rnacentral:tRNA from 1 species